rnacentral:rRNA from 1 species
AUUGAACGCUGGCGGCAGGCCUAACACAUGCAAGUCGAACGAGUGGCGGACGGGUGAGUAAUGUCUGGGAACCUGCCCGCUGGAGGGGGAUAACUACUGGAAACGGUAGCUAAUACCGCAUACCAUCGGAUGUGCCCAGAUGGGAUUCGCUAGUAGGUGGGGUAACGGCUCACCUAGGCGACGAUCCCUUGCUGGUCUGAGGGGAUGACCGGCCACACGGGAACGGAGACACGGUCCAGACUCCUACGGGAGGCAGCGGUGGGGAAGAUUGCACAAUGGGCGCAAGCCUGAUGCAGCCAUGCCGCGUGUAUGAGGAAGGCCUUCGGGUUGUAAAGUACUUUCAGCGAGGAGGCGUUACUCGCAGAAGAAGCACCGGCUAACUCCGUGCCAGCAGCCGCGGUAAUUC